rnacentral:tRNA from 1 species
GAGGGUAUAGCUCUAGUGGUAGGGCACAUGCUUAGCAUGCAUGAGGUCCUGGGUUCAAUCCCUAGUACCUCCU